ACAAAGACACAGAAAAAGUAUUGCUGAACCAUCUUUGCACCAUUGGUGGCAUUAGCAGUGAGGAUACGGUGCAAAGAAUGAUGGUCACUGUAUUCAAAUACCACCUGGCAUGUUCCUUUAAUUGGAAGGGAAGAGGUGGGAAACAUGCAUUCUGUGCAUUAGCCCUGUGUCGAGCAAUAAAAGCGGCUUGCAAAAAACGUGGAUAUCAGA